UACAGAGGUCUCAAGCGUUGUUCGGAUUCAUUGGGCGUAAAGGGUGCGUAGGCGGUCGCGCAAGUCGGAUGUGAAAUCUUAGGGCUCAACCCUGAAACUGCAUUCGAUACUGCGUGGCUAGAGUACUGGAGAGGAGACUGGAAUUUACGGUGUAGCAGUGAAAUGCGUAGAUAUCGUAAGGAAGACCAGUGGCGAAGGCGAGUCUCUGGACAGUUACUGACGCUGAGGCACGAAGGCCAGGGGAGCAAACGGG
rnacentral:rRNA from 1 species